ensembl:misc_RNA 7SK 7SK RNA
GGAUGUGAGGCCACCUGGCUGCGACAUUUGUCACCCCAUGAUCGCCAGGGUUGAUUCGGCUGAUCUGCUGGCUAGGCGGUGUCCCCUUCUUCCCUCACCCCUCCAGGUGUGUCCCUCCCGAAGCUGCGCGCUGGCUCCAAGAGGACGGCCUUCCCCAAACAGAGAGGGACUUUGUCUUCCGUGGAGGGAAUAUGAGUAGCUGCGCUCCCCUGCUAGAAUCUCCAGACAAGCUCUCAAGGUCCGUUUGUAAGAGAAUGUGGGGCAGUCAGACUACCAAGACUCCACACACAUCCAGAUGAGACGCUGCAUGUGGCCCUCUGCCUUCCUUU